UACAGAGGUCCCAAGCGUUGUUCGGAUUUACUGGGCGUAAAGGGAGCGUAGGUGGCAUUCUAAGUCUGAUGUGAAAGCUCUGAGCUUAACUCAGAAAUGGCAUUAGAAACUAGUUUGCUAGAGGAUUGGAGGGGAGAUUGGAAUUCUUGGUGUAGCAGUGAAAUGCGUAGAUAUCAAGAGGAACACCAGUGGCGAAGGCGAAUCUCUGGACAAUUCCUGACACUGAUGCUCGAAAGCUAGGGGAGCAAACGGG
rnacentral:rRNA from 1 species